rfam:Dysgonomonas gadei ATCC BAA-286 genomic scaffold supercont1.1, whole genome shotgun sequence.
ACACACGUGGUGGAAUUGGUAGACAUGCUACUUUGAGGGGGUAGUGUCCGCAAGGACGUGUGAGUUCGAAUCUCAUCGUGUGUA